GAUGAACGCUAGCUACAGGCUUAACACAUGCAAGUCGAGGGGCAUCACAAGGUAGCAAUACUGAGGUGGCGACCGGCGCACGGGUGAGUAACACGUAUCCAACCUGCCGUUUACUCUUGGAUAGCCUUCUGAAAAGGAGAUUGAUACAAGAUAGUAUCAUGAGAUCACAUGUUCACAUGAUUAAAGAAUUUCGGUAAACGAUGGGGAUGCGUUCCAUUAGAUAGUAGGCGGGGUAACGCCCACCUAGUCUACGAUGGAUAGGGGUUCUGAGAGGAAGGUCCCCCACACUGGUACUGAGACACGGACCAGACUCCUACGGGAGCAGCAGUGAGGAAUAUUGGUCAAUGGACGCAAGUCUGAACCAGCCAAGUAGCGUGAAGGAUGAAGGUUCUAUGGAUUGUAAACUUCUUUUAUAAGGGAAUAAAAUCACCUACGUUUAGGUGCCUGUAUGUACCUUAUGAAUAAGGGACCGGGCUAACUCCGUGCCAGCCGCCGCGGGUAA
rnacentral:rRNA from 1 species